UUUUCACUUAAACACACUCCUCUCUAUCACUCUCAUCCUCUCCACCAGCACUUCCACACCACCACCACCAUUUCCACCAUAGUUUUUUCGGCAAGAUCACCAAAAAAUUGUUAUGAACCCAUAAGCACCUUCACAUCCUUUUUUUGAGGUUCUAGCUAAUCUCCUUGGAGCUUGGAGAAUUAGGAUUUUGCGGUUGCGAGUUUUUCAGAUUAUUAGUUAUACCUUGGGUAUGGAGCUUACUUCUUUGGUGAUGAUUAGAUUGCUAUGUUUAAUUUGGAGACUUUUGCUAUAAAUGGUUGGUGACUCGAUCUUGCUAUGUUCAACAAGACCUUAAUUAAUUCUAUUGGAGGUGGGUCGCUUGAGGUUUGUUAGCCUUUGGCGUGGUAGGCCUAGACUCGAUGUUAAGGUUUUUAUUCUUGAUAAGAUUGUGACUUUGUGUAAUUUAAUUAGAGUUUUGUAAUAUAUUCAUGUAUUAUGUGGAGGCACAUGAUUUUUAGUUAUUGUUCAUAAAUGUGCUAUAGAGCUCUGACUUGUAAUAUAGAGAUUUUAGUAUGGUUAUAUAUUCUUAUCCUGUGGAAAAGAAAGGUAAAGAAAGAUCUUCUACAGUUUGAAUUAUCAAAAAGGAAAAAUCUACAGUUACCCUUGGGAUGUAUUUCUCAUGCUUUAGACCCUUUUGGGUUUGGGUCAUGACAAAAGCUCUAUCUUAAUUUUUGCAAACAAGGGGUAGGA